rnacentral:lncRNA from 1 species
GUCCCGGACCGCAGACCUGUCCCGGGGAGGCUGCGCACCGCCCCGCCCCUCCCACCCCUCCGAGGCCCAGCGAGCAAGUGCGUGUUCUCGGGUCCUCGCCCCGAGCAGCCUGGCCAGCAGCAUCCCGCCUCGCCCACUUCCCAGUAGACACAGGGACAGCGGCUUCCACUCCCGGGACCUCUGGACAUCCUCCAUCCCGGUUUGGCGGGAAACUGACCCAGGAGAAAGUGUUUGCAGAGGUUCCAAAAAACCAGCCCGGCGGGAGGGUUGUUGCCCCAGGAGGGUUGUGGCCGCCUUGUCUUGGUCCAGAAAUUUCACCACUCUCCUACAGCCCAGUGCCUCUUUUUUUUUUUUUUCUUUUGAGAAGGAGUCUCGCUCUGUCGCCCAGGCGUCCAGUGCCUCUUAUUUAGCGUGGGAUGGAGGCGACUUACUGAAGCGUUGUCAUUUCCCUGUAUCCAAUUACAACCCUGCCCUCCAGCGCUUAGCAAGGUGGCUUAAAAAUAGUUUCUAUCCCUGCAAAGAGCGUUUGUCUGUAUCUCCAGAUCUAGGGAGUAGGUUGCCUUCUUGCUACAUAACUUAGGAUUCGCCUUUUCUCUUCUCUGAACCUCAGCCACAUCGUCCAGUAUACUAGCGCCUCCCGAACCGUUGAACUUCAAGAUCUCUUCCAGCAUCAAAGAGUUCACUGUAUUAGCGAAUGGGGGUGCUUGGAGAAUGCCCCUCUUCGCUCUUCCAUGGACGGGCAUUGAAUGUCUCUUCUGCACUUCCAUGUUGAUGGGCAUCAAACACCAUGUAUAGCCCAUCCUCUGGGAAUGCCAGCCAGCAGGAGCAAGAAUGUUAGGUUAGGUGUCCCACCAGGGCCCAGGUGGAAAGAUUCCGCCCUGGCUGAUGGUUGGGAUAGCCCUAGUUAGGCAUUUUUAUUAUCAUGCUUAUCAUUUUGAUUAUUUGAAUUCCAGCCUCUCCAGGAAAAUAUUUUGCAUUAGGAGAAAAAAUGUUCUCUAAUUUUACUAUGUUUAAUCAUUUUUUCAAUUCUUCAUCUGGAAAUAGUUGACCCUGUUUUGUUCCCACCUAUGCAUUGAUCAGACAUUUGCUGUUUGAUUAUUCUGUGUCAAGCACCGUGGAGAUAUUGAAGAAUAAUACAUAAUCUUUGCUUCCAGGAGCUGAUGUCUUAUAGGAAAACAAGAAAUAAAUUAAAAACAUGAUUAGGGCUUGCCACUUGUAAAUAAGGGGCUGGGAGGGGACUAAACCCAAAUGAAGGCUUUCUGAAGUAAAAGACAUCCCAGUGUUUUUCCAUGGUGAGCAGGAUUUCCAGCUAACGAGGAAAUGACUUAAAGAGGUUAUUUGAAAAACAAGUACUGGGUCCUAGAACUCUAGACAUGGAAAGGACAUUUAAAAAUAUCCAGUCCUGUAAAGUUAAAAUUGUGCAGGUGCUAUGGAAAAAAAAAAGUAUAAUGGUUCCUCUAAAAAUUAAAAAUAGAAUUAUGACACAAGCCAGCAAUUCUGCUUCUGGGAAUAUACCCCAAAGAAUUGAAAGCUGAGACUCAAACGGAUACUUGCACACCCAUGUUCAUAGCAGCAUUAUUCACAAUAGCCAAAAUGUGGAUGCAGCCCAAGUGCCUAUCAAUGGAUGAAGAAAAUGUGAUGUAUACAUUCCAUGGAACAUUAUUCAGUUUUAAAAAUGAAGGAAAUUCUGACACAUACUGCAACAUGGAGGAACCCUGAGGACAUUAUGCUAAACAAAAGAAGCCAGCCACAAAAGCACAAAUACUGUACGAUUCUGCUUAUAUGAGGUGCCUGAGUUGUCAAAGUUAUGGAGACAGAAAUUAGAAUAAUGGUUGCCAGGAAUUGUGGGGAGAGGGAAUGAGGAGCUAUUGUUUAAUGAGUAUGAAAUUCAAUUUUGGUAGAUGAAAAGAGUUCUGUGGAUGGGUGGUGGGGUGGUUGCAUAACAAUAUUGUUGCACAAUAAUAAUGCCACUGAACCACACUUCAGUAUGGUUAAGAUAGUACAUUUAUUUUUACGUGUAUUUUACUAUAAUUUUUUAAACUGACGUUUUAAAAAAUUCAGUCCUAUGUAUUCACUUUUCAAAGGAGGACACAGAAUUAGAGUGGUCCAAAUGACAAGCCCGAGGUCAGAGCCAUAGAGGUCUGUGUAAAACCUAUGUGCCAAGCCCUCUGUUCUUACUACCACAUUCUGUGGGUGGCUAGGUCAUUUGAUUGAAACUAUUGCUGUCUCAGACAACAGUAUACUGUAAUCCAAUACUCUAAAUUGGCUUCAUCAACAAGAUGAUUAUUAUGAAUGAAUUGUGUCUUAUAUCUUUUAAUGUUUACCUUUAAACAUUACGUCUUACCACAACUCAAAUUCUUUCUCUACAUAAUAGUAAUUUGCAGGAAAAAAAAUACUAACCAAUAAAGAUCCUAGUCCCUAUGUAAAGAGAAUAAUAUAUAUCUUUAAAGCAACUUGCAUUAGAAAGUGAUGUCACUAUUUUAGAUUGUAUAUUAAACUUCAAAUUUAGGACCUUGAGGUUGUCUUUUAACAACCCUAAAUCAAAGACUUAUAUGAGGGUAAAAUUCAACUUCUAUUUAAAAUUGUUCUCUUGCCCAGAUUCAGAAAUGCACUCUCUUCCUUAAAAUGAGAAGCAAAUAGAACAAGAUUCUAGCAUUUAAAUUUAUAGCUACUUGAGCGGCACAGGUGUCACCUGUGUGAUGUGCUGCAAUUGUUCCUUUAAAGCAGGAAAUGGGGUUUAUCGUCAUGACAAUCAAGAAACUCAAAACUUCUCUAACUAGGAAGCACUGACAUCUUAAAGCCUCCUGCGCCAAAAAGCCCCGUGGAACUCUGCAUAGAAAGCAGAGUUAGUAUUACAGCAUUCUCCAAAGAGCCAUUAAUUGUUCAGUUGGGGGUUAGCCGGGGUAAAAUAUUAGAAAUUAUCUUGGUUCUUAUUCAGAGUUUUAUUUAGAAAGGAACACAUAGUUGAUGACAACGUGGACCACUCUAUUUCCUGAUUGGAGCCUCUGUCCAAUCAGUUGAACAUCGUCAUAUUCAACUUCAGAUGAUCAUGCUCCAGAUAGUAUUCCAACCAUGACUGACCUUAUCAUUCCUAACCAUGUAUGGUCUUGUCUGACUUUUUUAUAACUUUGGCCACAAUAUGAUAUGUUUGGUAUAAUAGCAGUAUUCUCAUGAGAUGAAUUGUCUUGAUUUUUGAAAAAUUGUUAAC